AUGGAAACUGAACUUGAGGGGACUGACAUGGGAGGUCAGAAAAAAUUCAAAAUUGAUGAGUUGGGAGCUGAUGGAACUAAGGAAAUCAUCUCCUUGGGGAGUGUAGGACUCAAACAAUUUGAGGAGAUGCAACAGAAAAAUGAGGAGAUAUUGAAGAUGCAGAAAGAUUAUAUGUUAGAGGUGGGUUUGAGAAAGAAAGUAGAGGUGGAGCUAGAUAAAACUCUUAUAAAAUUUCAAGAAGUUGAAGAGAUCAGGUGCAGAAAUGAUGCUUGGAAACCUGUGGAGGAAAAAAGAGACUGCUAUUUGGGAAACUGA
rnacentral:rRNA from 1 species